GACGAACGCUGGCGGCGUGCUUAACACAUGCAAGUCGAACGGAAAGGACCUGCUUUUGUGGGGUGCUCGAGUGGCGAACGGGUGAGUAACACGUGAGUAACCUGCCCUUGACUUUGGGAUAACUUCAGGAAACUGGGGCUAAUACCGGAUAGGAGCUCCUGCUGCAUGGUGGGGGUUGGAAAGUUUCGGCGGUUGGGGAUGGACUCGCGGCUUAUCAGCUUGUUGGUGGGGUAGUGGCUUACCAAGGCUUUGACGGGUAGCCGGCCUGAGAGGGUGACCGGCCACAUUGGGACUGAGAUACGGCACAGACUCCUACGGGAGGCAGCAGUGGGGAAUAGUGCACAAUGGGCGGAAGCCUGAUGCAGCAACGCCGCGUGCGGGAUGACGGCCUUCGGGUUGUAAACCGCUUUCGCCUGUGACGAAGCGUGAGUGACGGUAAUGGGUAAAGAAGCACCGGCUAACUACGUG
rnacentral:rRNA from 1 species